rnacentral:rRNA from 1 species
AAUGAACGCUGGCGGCAGGCCUAAAACAUGCAAGUCGAACGCCCUAGCAAUAGGGAGUGGCGCACGGGUGAGUAACAUGUGGGAAUAUGCCUAUUGGUAAGGAACAACGUUUGGAAACGAACGCUAAUACCUUAUGGUCCCUUCGGGGUAAAGAUUUAUCGCCAAUAGAUUAGCCCGCACUAGAUUAGCUAGUUGGUGAGGUAAUGGCUCACCAAGGCGACGAUCUAUAGCUGGUCUGAGAGGACGAUCAGCCACACUGGGACUGAGACGCGGCCCAGACUCCUACGGGAGGCAGCAGUUAGGAAUAUUGGACAAUGGGCGCAAGCCUGAUCCAGCCAUGCCGCGUGAGUGAUGAAGGCCUUCGGGUUGUAAAACCCUUUAGCCGAUGAAUAUAAUGACUGUAGUCGGAGAAUAAGCCCCGGCUAACUUCGUGCCAGCCGCCGCGGUAA